AACGCUAGCUACAGGCUUAACACAUGCAAGUCGAGGGGCAGCAUGAACUUAGCUUGCUAAGUUUGAUGGCGACCGGCGCACGGGUGAGUAACACGUAUCCAACCUGCCGAUGACUCGGGGAUAGCCUUUCGAAAGAAAGAUUAAUACCCGAUGGCAUAGUUCUUCCGCAUGGUAGAACUAUUAAAGAAUUUCGGUCAUCGAUGGGGAUGCGUUCCAUUAGGUUGUUGGCGGGGUAACGGCCCACCAAGCCUUCGAUGGAUAGGGGUUCUGAGAGGAAGGUCCCCCACAUUGGAACUGAGACACGGUCCAAACUCCUACGGGAGGCAGCAGUGAGGAAUAUUGGUCAAUGGACGAGAGUCUGAACCAGCCAAGUAGCGUGAAGGAUGACUGCCCUAUGGGUUGUAAACUUCUUUUAUACGGGAAUAAAGUGAGGCACGUGUGCUUUUUUGUAUGCACCGUAUGAAUAAGGAUCGGCUAACUCCGUGCCAGCAGCCGCGGUAAUACGGAGGAUCCGAGCGUUAUCCGGAUUUAUUGGGUUUAAAGGGAGCGUAGGCGGACGCUUAAGUCAGUUGUGAAAGUUUGCGGCUCAACCGUAAAAUUGCAGUUGAUACUGGGUGUCUUGAGUACAGUAGAGGCAGGCGGAAUUCGUGGUGUAGCGGUGAAAUGCUUAGAUAUCACGAAGAACUCCGAUUG
rnacentral:rRNA from 1 species